UAUAUUUUAGUAUAUUAUGUAUAAAAAAUUUUGAAUUUUUAGGUAAUAAAUUAAUUUUAUUAGAUAUAA
rnacentral:tRNA from 1 species